rnacentral:misc_RNA from 1 species
AUAGGGAACUUCUUUAGAAUGGAAGUUGGAGAAGGAAUUCAAAGGCUAGAGGCAUCGGGUGCAGAUGAACCUGUCGCUCAGUCUGCUUAAUUUGAGGGGAUUGUGUUCCUUAAACCGUUUCAGCUCAUUUGGGUAGACAUUGGUCUUGACAAUAUCACUUUGAGUUUGAGGUUGAUGGGCAUAUUUUGGGUUUUCAUCAUUUGAUGAUAGUCUUCCUGCAAUCAAAAAUUGUAGUUACUUACUACCAGAAUGCCCAAAUAUUAGAGUCUGAGCUUUGAUAUCCUUCUGGGACUAUGAAAUUCUUUUUCUAUUCUAGUAGGCAUGAUAAUUUCCUGAAUCAGAUGGAUGAGAAGAGCAGUAGGAUAUGGUAUUGCAAUUAUAUCAUACUAUGGUGGAAGAAAGGAAGUGGCGCAAUAACACUCGCCUCCAUGCUUGUAUUCUCUAUUCUAGAAACAUUUUGAUUGGGUAGAGCCAGUGUUGAUUUUUGGGGUCGACAGUGUCUUUACGUUUACAGUAUCAUUG